GAUGAACGCUGGCGGCGUGCUUAACACAUGCAAGUCGAACGGUGAAGCAGGAGCUUGCUCUUGUGGAUCAGUGGCGAACGGGUGAGUAACACGUGAGCAACCUGCCCCUGACUCUGGGAUACGCGCUGGAAACGGCGUCCAAUACUGGAUAUGUGAUGUUGCCGCAUGGUCUGCAUCUGGAAAGAAUUUCGGUUGGGGAUGGGCUCGCGGCCUAUCAGCUUGUUGGUGAGGUAAUGGCUCACCAAGGCGUCGACGGGUAGCCGGCCUGGGAGGGUGACCGGCCACACUGGGACUGAGACACGGCCCAGACUCCUACGGGAGGCAGCAGUGGGGAAUAUUGCACAAUGGGCGGAAGCCUGAUGCAGCAACGCCGCGUGAGGGAUGACGGCCUUCGGGUUGUAAACCUCUUUUAGCAGGGAAGAAGCGAAAGUGACGGUACCUGCAGAAAAAGCACCGGCUAACUACGUGCCAGCCGCCGCGGUAA
rnacentral:rRNA from 1 species